GACGAACGCUGGCGGCGUGCUUAACACAUGCAAGUCGAACGAUGAAGCUAGAGCUUGCUCUGGUGAAUUAGUGGCGAACGGGUGAGUAACACGUGAGUAACCUGCCCCGAACUCUGGGAUAACUGCUGGAAACGGUAGCUAAUACAGGAUACGACCUACGAAGGCAUCUUCUGUAGGUGGGAAGAAUUUCGGUUCGGGAUGGACUCGCGGCCUAUCUGCUUGUUGGUGAGGUAAUGGCUCACCAAGGCGACGACGGGUAGCCGGCCUGAGAGGGUGACCGGCCACACUGGGACUGAGACACGGCCCAGACUCCUACGGGAGGCAGCAGUGGGGAAUAUUGCGCAAUGGGCGAAAGCCUGACGCAGCAACGCCGCGUGAGGGAUGACGGCCUUCGGGUUGUAAGCCUCUUUCAGCAGGGAAGAAGCGAAAGUGACGGUACCUGCAGAAGAAGCACCGGCUAACUACGUGCCAGCAGCCGCGGUAA
rnacentral:rRNA from 1 species